CCCCACCUCAGAGAUUAAAACACACUGAACCACUUUACUGUCUUCAUUUCAUCUGGAAAGCAAGAGUCACACAAUUGAUGUUCCACUGACCAAGCAGAUUUGUGAAAGCUUCUGCCUGCCUCAACACAGACCUUGCUUUUCAAUGUCAUUUUGCAUCUGCAAUGUCAAUCAAAUCCAUUUCAUUAUCCUAAGUGCAUCGUAAAGAUUGCAUGCUCAGGACUGAAGAUACAGUAUGCUUUUAGUCUACUUUGGGAAUAUGUUUGAGAUGUGAGAACUGUGAGUAUUGAGCCUGAAUACUCUACCUGAAGCAUAGCUGACUCAAUCCAAUGAUAUGGUUCCCUUAGAGAUAACUUUUUUAAAGAAGACUGUUGAGGAAUUUGAGAUUGUGAAUUAUUUUAAUUCUCUUAGUUCCAACUUAAAAUCUCAAUCAUCUCUGUUCCACUAAAUUCACAGGAAUUAUGUCAAAGUGUCUGUGUGUUAGCAGUACCAUUCAAGUUUUCUUCAGAUAUCUGCUGAAGGAAUAUUUGUCACGAUGCUGUUUUGCAUCUCCUCGGAGGGAGGUGAAGUACUGCAGAAAGGAGACAAGCCUGUCUAAUGGUUUGCUUUCUCUAAACCUGGGAGAUCUUCAAAAAGCUGUGUAAGAUGCUUCAGCACAGCAGCAAUUUUAGAUGACAGAGCCUCAUGCAAGCUUUCCCUUUUUCUAAUGGUGGUUUUGACAAAUCAGUCAAAUGUGACUGACUUUGGCUGUUUCAGCAGUGAUUUGUAGAGCAUUUAGUAAAUUGUAAUCUGACAGAAGUGCUUUCAUCAUGUUACUGUAUUUGAAAUUGGCAUGAAAGGGAUGACAACAGUGCAUGUAGAAAGCUAAACAUAUAGGCUCUAACUACUUGAAAGAAACAUUCUCAAGUCACUGAAGAAGUGUUGCAUGACUGCUUGCAAAAGCAAAAGCAAAACGACCUUGUUUUGAACAAGUAAUUGGAGAUGUUUGUGGAUGUUGAAUGUUUUUUGAGCUUCUCUUUCUUAGAAUCCUAGAAUCAUGAAGGUUGGAAAAAAAAAAACCAAGAUCAUCUAGUCCAACCACCAACCCAUCAUCACCAUUUCCACCAUACAUGCCGCAUUUAUUGGCCAGGAAAGUGAGGUCUAGCUUUACAAAAAGAUCAGAUUUUCUCCUGUUAUGCAGUAGAUUUUAAGUAUUACUUUGGAGAAACUAUAUUCUUGUGGUGGUUCUUCUAACUUAAGCCUUAAUUGGAGUGCAUGAUAUUAAUGCAACAUGUCUGAACAGUUGGGUUCAUGUGUAUUUGUGAAGUGGGUUACCUUCAGGCGGGAAUGGUGCUCUGAUCUCUUUCUACAGGUAUCUGUCCUACGUCUACUUCUGUUAAACGUUACUGUUAAUGAAUGAGAUGGGUGAGGGGCCAGAAGGUCACUUGCUAAACUUUCAGACAGCACAAAAUAAAAAGAUGCACAAAAUUGUAAAUGGGUGGCACAGCCUUAAGGAAUCUAACUACAUAAAUUGUAUAAUACUAUUUGAAGUGGAAUAGUCUAUUACUCAUUUCAUCGUGAGAUUAGAUUGAAAUGGUGUUUGCGUAACAGCCUGAAAAUCAACUGCAGAUAGGAAGUGGUGAAUGUUUUCCUUUAAGAUUUCUUUAAGCUAUGAAGUUUUGAACAACAGAACUGAAAGGUCCAUUUUUUAUUGAUACCACUUCAAUACAGACACUGCAGCCAUCUAUUUCCUCACUGAAAUCUUGCAGAAAUUCAAUGUCUUUCUGCCUUUUCUAGAGUAUCUUUAAUAAAUGAAAAGAAAAGCAAUUCUGUUCAUUGGGAUGAGAAGGAAAAGGAAGAUUAUAAUACUUAGCAGGCAUUGUAAGAACUUUGUUUUCAAUGCCUUUGGCUUGAAUAGGCAGAAAAUUGCACAGUGAGUUGUAUAUUUAAAUUCCUCUUAAAUUGGAGUAAGGUUAUGGACUCUUCAGAGGAGCAACUCUGAAGCUGAUAACAGUACUGUCUGAAUACUUUGCUUUGAGAAAGAAAAAAUACACGUAUUGUUAGUCUUGAAAUGGCAUUCUGAGAAUUAAUUUGCAGUUCAUCUGAAUGGAAAUUAAUGCUUCAUUAGCACUAUUAGGAGGAAAAUAAGAAUGUUACAAACUGUCUAAUAAAUAUGAAAGUAGUGAGUUCAGGAUCUCGAUGCUAGUCUAAUGGGAAAUGAGGAGUAAGGCAGGAGUGGUUUUCAAGUCUUAGCCCAUUUAAGUCUGGGUGGUUCUCAAGUAGGAUAAUUGCUUAUAAGAUAGUGCUUCUGCUAUUGAAUUGUUUUCUACCCACAGAGCCUAGUUUGCUUACGAAUUUUGUAAUCCAUAAAUACUUUAGCUAUACAAAUCCAGUGAUUGCGUUUUUUAAUAUUAGAACCUUAAUUCUAUUCCUUCUAAGUAAGGAAAAUAAUUUCACUUAACCAUCUGUGUGAGAAGUCUCUUGAAAUACAGUAAUCCAAACUUCUGUUAAAUGGCACUGGGGUGGCACAUAACAUGAAGUGAGAGAAGUUCCCAGUGAGGAAGAAUUAAUCAGGAUGUGGGUUAAAAGUGUGCCCUGUAUGUUUUCAGAGGGAAAAAAUAACCCUAUGUACUAACUGCAAGCUUUAUUUGAAGAUUUUCUAAAUCUCCAUCAUAGAAGCAAAAAGCUUUGUGUGAUUUUUUUUCAAGGUCAUGGCUAAGAUGUAGGCUUGUGGAAAGCAUUAAGAUAUUUCCUUUAUUAACGAAUUUACCCUAGUUAAUUUCAUGCUAAUUUAUAACAUUAGUAUUUUCUGUAAAUUGUAUUGGUUUCUUUGCAGUGUGUUCUUCCCCAAUAAGACCAGAGCUUACCCAAAACAAACAUUAUUGGAAUUUUCAUCUUCAUUUAGAAAUCCAAAAGAGAUAAGGGUAAUCUAAGCACAAACUAAUUGACUUGAGCUGGUUUGGGCCAUUUCAUGUUUGCAGACAUUUUAGGAUAUUGAGGAUAAAUCUGUGUAUUCCCUGGGGGUUUCUCCCUUGCAGCUCCAAACAGCAAUUUCUGGAAAAGAAGGAAAAAUCAAAGUGAUGGCUCAAAAGUUAACAGUCAUACUAGGGAGAAAGGAAGUGUGUAAUCAAUUACAAAUUACCUUUUUAAACUUACUAAUUUUCCUUUUAGAUCACGAGAGGAAGCUAACUGAGCAGCAAAGUUCGAAACCUGAACUUUUUACUACUUCCUGUGCUUUCUUCUACAAAAAUAGCUAUUUUAAUAAGCUUAGAAGAAGUUCCUUUAUCAUCUUGAUGACUACACAACAUUGAUUUCUAUUUGUAGCAGGAAGUCUAAGAAGAACUUGUUCUUUAAUGCCUACAUCAUACUGCAUUUUGUUCUUAGAAUCAUAGAAUGGCCUGGGUUGGAAGGGACCUCAAGGAUCAUCAAGCUCCAAACCCCCUGCAACAGGCAGGGCCACCAACCUCACAUUUAAUGCUAGACAGGCUACCCAGGGCCCCAUCCAAGCUGGCCUUGAACACCUCCAGGGACGGGGCAUCCACAGCUUCUCUGGGCAGCCUGUUCCAGCACCUCACCACUCUCAUAGUAAAGAACUUCCCCCUGAUAUCCAAGCUAAAUCUUCCCUUUUCCAUUUCCAUGUGAAAAUAAAGUUCCGUAGUAAUUUUAAAUGGUAGGAGGACAUGACUGAUGGACAACAAAGAUAGACAUCUUUGUUGCAUCUGAUGCAUGCACAGAUUUGCCUUAAUCUGUUGCAGAUGCUGAAUCACCCUCCAGAGAAAGAGUCCUUCUCAUUCACAGAGAUGUCUAGACAAUGUCUCUACUGUAUUAUUAUGUGCUGUAUUGUCAAAAAAUACACUGUCUCAGCAUGGGAGGAAGAGGUCAUUCAUUUCACUAUGUCUUAAAUUUGUGAGGAAUCAGGACCAAAACACCUUUUUGCAAAUGCUCACAUCAAUCUGAUGGGACAGUUUCUUUACACAUUUACAUCAUUGGUUGCAUCCUGCUUGGCAGCUGGUUGAACUGCACAAGAAUAUAAUGUGGUGCUGCCUUUCUUCAGGGAAGAAAAAAAACGCAUAUGUUAUGAAUUUGAAUGAUAUCAGCCUCCAUUAAUGGAAAUUUCUCCAUCUGAAGACAGUCCCUCAACUGCACUCAAGAAUUCAAGAACUGCAUUCAAGAAUCUUCUUGAAUCUUCUUCUUGAAGAAGCAGCAAUGUGAAGCAUUAAACUGGUAUCUGCAAGUGCAGUUGAGAGAUGGUGAGAGAUGAGUGAUGGUGAAGAACUCUACCAACAAGAACAGCUUGAAUUGUCAAUAGCCUUUCUGAAAGGCACACAAGUCAAAUACCACCUCAGAACUCUUAGUUACUUUCUUGCAGCUGCUAGACACAUGGAUGUUUCAAUGUUAUUUGGCAUUUACUUGUUUAAUCAUUAGCCAUUUGUGCUAUAAACUGCAAGAUAAUAUCCUGCAGCAUUUUCUGUGACAAGGCACAAUACGGAAUAGUGAUCAAUACUAACACAUACUUACCUCAGGCCAGUAGUCUUUGGUUCAUUGAGCAGAGGUUAGGGAAGUGCAUACUCCAGGUCAGCUAACUGAAUGUUGUCCAGGGUGCAAGACUCCCGGGAGUAUCGCCCAGUCCCUGAAAACUCCAAACACAAUCCAGAGCAAAUGCUUCUUAUCCAAGCAGCAAUAUUUAGCUUUGUGCACUGUCACUUUUGUUUUCUUCCUUCUGAUGCCCAAAGUUUAUUCCUCAGUGGCUGUAUUCAAGCUUGCAUGAAAGGAAUGUGGCUCACAACUCCUGAAUUUCUGGCAUAUGGUUGAAAAUGAUUAAAUAUAUUGCAGAGGAGAUUGUUGGAGCUUAUAAUGAAGAAUAGGAGUCCAUAUAGCCAGCUUUCUCAUGGGAACAGUCAAAAUUCUUCAUGACAAAACUUGCUGUCACUUGAUAUGUUGCUUGCUCUCUACAAGAGUUGGCUUGUUUAUAUAUAUGAGCAUAUACGUACUUUAAAGUUAUUUAGAAAAUACUAGACUGUGAACAAACAGAAGAUGCUAAUAAAAUCCUCCUACUGCUGCAGGAGAUGGAAUGGAAUGCAUGAACACUUUCACAAACACUUUACUUUUUACUAAUUCUUUGGUUUGAUGUAUUCUGAAUCAGAUGUUCUAGACAAACCUUAUGAGGUGAGUUUAAAAUACCUAUCUUUUUUAUGUGUGGUAAGUACUAGGAAAGCAGAUAUAGUGUCUUCUAAGUGUUAGCUAAGAAAGAAAAAUGUCUUCCUUCCUAGUUUGUGGAUUGAUUUUUGUAUAAUGCUGGCUAAUGAUUUUCUUGUUAAUACAACUCAAAGCACCAUAAUUUAAAUGGAUACACAGACAGUCUAUAAGUAGGGACUGGUUCACUUGUAUUUUGUGGCAUUUAAGUGACAAAGAUAAGGUAAAAUGGAAUUAAUUCUGAAACAAUCAAAAGGUUAUUUAUUGGAUACCUUUUCUUGUAGCAAAAAUGUUGAGUGACUUGGUUUUGCAGCUACGCCAAUCUUUAAGUGUUUUGAUUCAUACUGAAGACUCCCUUUAGCAAGGUUUCAAGAAAUACUGAACCACAGUAAAGCAACGUCCUAUGUUGAACUUGAAAUGGUUUGCUUUUAGUUUUAUAGACCUUUCUCUUCCCUGCUGAUUUACACUUAAUAGUAAACUACAAGAUUGCAGGUAUCUCUUGUUUCUCCUUCCCUCAGUAGACUUCAUCCAGCACGGUUUUCCUCUGUUAUCUUCUCACUGUAAGCAGUUUACGAAUUUAUCUUUAUUUCUUCAUUAGAUACGAAGUUCUAUAGCUGCAUCCUUUAAUGCUUAGAGGUAAAUCCUGAAAUAAGUUCAGGGAUAAAUGUACUAAGCAGUACAUACCAUGUAGUAGAACAUCCAUUAUGGAAAAACAAAAUAAA
ensembl:lncRNA